GGCAGUUCUCGGGUGAUGCACCCCGAAACGGGCUCCCUCCUCUGGUUCCAGGUGUGUCACCCGAGAACUGCA
rfam:Myotis davidii contig214617, whole genome shotgun sequence.